UGUGCAGAGAAAAGACCAUGUGAAGACAUACAGAGAAGAUGGCCGCUCUAUAAUCCAAGGAAGGAGGAGUUAGUAAAAAAAAAAAAAAAAAAAAAAAGCAACCCUAUCAAAACUGACACCUUAAUCUUGAACUUUCAGCUUCCAGAAUUGUGAGAAAAAUGUCUCUGUUUAAGCCACUCAGUCUGUGGUACCUUAUUAUGGCACUCCUAGCAUAUGAAUGCACAUGGAUUUUCUAUGACUUUACCGACCUUGUGAGACUUCUUUGCUUGUCAUUGCAAUGAGCCUUCUUGGAGGAUGCUUUAAAAUUAGGUAUGUUGGUCAGUGUCAAUUUAAGUUUUGGUAAAGUCAGUCAACAAACUAAGUCUGCUCCUUCUGAAAAAUAUCCUUGAUUCUUACUGUCUUUAUACGACAAUCGCUGAAUGUGUUUCUCUAGUGGUAAGAACUUCAAGACUGACCCUGACAUACUAUGGCUUUUGUGUCCUAGCUUGUUUGGUAAGAAAGCAGAGCUUAAAGGUAAGCUUUAAUCCAUUGUCUGUUUGCAACUGAAGGUAAUCCUGAUGAAAACUCGGAAGCAUUUUCCUAAUUAUAACAGCUGGAUAUGUUUUCGCUAAUUCUUAUCAGUGGCAAAUUAUUCUAGGCCUUAUUGCCUAAUGAAUAUUUUAAUUACUUGAUUAAUUACUCAGUUUCAUUACUUACUGAAUGUCCAGGCCCACUGGCAGGGAGAAGAAACAAAAGAGAAAAUGGAGAGGACAGAGUUGCUUCCCGUAUCUCUUCGGAUCAUGUUCCAUAGGAGACCCUUGGGAAAAUCCUCUACAUCCAAUCUGAGGCCCCAUAUCACCACCAGCAGAAUACCUGGGUAAUUUAUAAAGAAGAGAGAUUCUAGAGCUCAGGGUUCUGGAGCUUGGGAAAUCCAAGAGCAUGGCACUAGAAUCUGGUAAGGGCCUUU